rnacentral:tRNA from 1 species
GGACCCAUAGCUCAAAGGAAGAGCCCUCCGCUCAUAACGGAGUUGUUGUAGUGUCGGGAUCUACUGGGUCCACCA